CAGCUGGUCCUUUUUCCAAUAUCAGUAAAGAUGAACUACACUGAAAUCAAGGGAGUAACAGUAGAAAAUCAGUUUUUGAGGAAGAAAGGGCUUCCUUGAAAGUGCUGCAAAGCCCUGGUGAUCUGUGUCCAGUAGCAUUGCCAGCAUCUUUCAACUCCUCUCUGACGCCAGUCCUUCAAGAUGGAACCUCUCUUCAGAGCUCCAAAAGAAUUAUCAUACAUUUCCACUCAACCAGCUGAGAUUUUCCAGGUGCUUUCAGUGAUGCUGGGAGACAACAGUCGCUGUAAGUGAUCUGCCAGAGUAACUUACACUCGUAGUAACAUUGCUGAGGACUUCCUGAUGUUCUCAAUGAUAACAGUAGUCCUUUUGUAGAAGGAACUCUUUUGAGAUUACAAUGAAUACUCAUGGUUCUACAGCUGUCUCUUCUUCCAUGUCUGAUAAAAUAGGUAGUCCUCCCUGGCUAUCAUUUAUACUAGUAAAUGUUUUAGAUGUUGUUUCUCUUGAAGCCCAGCAGUAGCCUGCUUUAGUUAGUCUUCCACCUCUCAUGGUAGACUUUCAGGGAAUUUUGGAGGCAGUAGUUCUGUCAUAUGCGGCAGAGGAGUGGUAUUUUGGCUAACGGGUUUCUUGAUUAAUUCUACUUUGCCAAUACUCAUUUUCUGUUUACACAGAAGCUUUUUGUUUCCCUUUUCUGAUGUAAGCUUUUGAGAUUUAUAAGAACUUCAGAUUUCCUUGUUUCAGCCCUAUCAAUUUGUGCUUACAGCCUUAUGCCACUACCCUGCACUUUUUUUAAGCCAAACAUUCUCUCAAGGUGCACCUUUGUAACAGGAACAAACAUAAAUCCAAGCUACUCUGGAAGUAAUUUUCCACAGUUAGAUAAAAGUGUAUCUGACUGCAUUUUCAAUGGGACACUUGCCAGUCUCCUUGUGCUUUCUGAAAAGCCUGUAUCCUCCUAACUUUACAUUUUUGCUUCCCUACUCCACCCCUUUAGGAAGUGACCUGUUCCUUGUAUCUUUAAUUAAUUUUAAUGGCUUCUAAUCAACAUUUGUAAAAAUCAGAUUCAGGCUUAACCCUGUUCUUGUUUAUACAGAGUAAAUUGAAACUGAGGAAGUUAUUUUGAAUUUGAUAUUGUAGUUUUGAUGACUUUCUAUUUCAGCAUCAGAAAGUAAAAAUGUAACCUAUGUUA